AUUGAACGCUGGCGGUAGGCUUAACACAUGCAAGUCGAGCGGAGCGGCGGACGGGUGAGUAAUGCCUAGGAAUCUGCCUGGUAGUGGGGGAUAACGUCCGGAAACGGGCGCUAAUACCGCAUACUCUCAGAUGAGCCUAUGUCGGAUUAGCUAGUUGGUGGGGUAAAGGCCUACCAAGGCGACGAUCCGUAACUGGUUCGGGAGGAUGAUAAGUCAAACUGGAACUGAGACACGGUCCAGACUCCUACGGGAGGCAGCAGUGGGGAAUAUUGGACAAUGGGCGAAAGCCUGAUCCAGCCAUGCCGCGUGUGUGAAGAAGGUCUUCGGAUUGUAAAGCACUUUAAGUUGGGAGGCGUUACCAACAGAAUAAGCACCGGCUAACUUCGUGCCAGCCGCCGCGGUAAUAC
rnacentral:rRNA from 1 species